CGACGACUCGCCGAGCUCGGGUUGCGAGGAAAGCGCCGCUGAGUUCUCCGGGGCUUGAGCUCCGGCGGCUUGGUCACUGCUCCUGGCUGUUGGCUGAGCUCUGGAAGCCCCCUCGCCUUAAUGCAGCGCCCGCUGACGUCACUGCGGCCUGCGACCAAUCAGCGCCUCGCGGUCCCUCUGUAAACCAUUCUGCAUCCCCCGGCCCGGGAGAGUGCGGGGAGACCGCGUUUAGAGGAUCAGUGGCGGCGGCACCCGCGGCCCCGCGCGGCGCGGACGGCGGGCAGCACCGUGCCUGGGCCCCCUCCUGCUCCGCUCUCAAUCUGGGGCAUGACUUUGAAGGGAAGGUUGCUAAGCCUCCUAAAUCCCGAUACACACCAAUGCCGUUUCCCCACUCAUCUGGAAACCUGGUGGGUCCUGCCCAAACGCCUGUAUGUCAAUUCCACCUCCUGCUUGGCGACCCACCAUGCCCACAUUUUCCACUCAAGCCUUUCAGAUCUGCUUUGGGCACCUGAAGACAGAGAGAAUCAUCUUUCAAGAGUCAGAAACUUUGCACGUGCCAUUCCCUCUGCUUAGAAUGCUUUUCCCUUUCUCCCAAUUGCCUUAUCAUCAGCCUGGGAAAAUAUUUAUUUCGGCUCCUAAAAUCUCAGAUAUCACUUCUCCAGGAGCUUUCCCAGAUGCCUCACUUGAUUCCAGAAGGAGCUAUCGCCACUUUUGCCUGGCGAGUACGUUUUCACCGUUACACUUAUACGCUAUGGCAAUUUAUUGGUGAUUUGUCUGUCUCCCCUACUCAAUAGUGAAUUAUUCAUCUAUCCCUGGAAACCUGGAACUGCUCAAUAAAUGUAUGUGGCAUGAAUAUACAUAUUAUUCUCUUCUGCCUUUUGUUUUUUUACACAUUCUUCAAGGCCCUGCUCGGGCAUCACCUCC
rnacentral:lncRNA from 1 species